GAACUCAAGAGCUAGACAUAAUUAAUUGGUGGCAAUAUGCAGGGAUCAAGUACCCCACUUUGAGAAAGAUUGCUCGAGAUAUCAUGGCAAUUCCAGUCACAACUGUUGCAUCUGAGUCUGUAUUCAGCACUGGGGGAAGAGUAAUAAGCCCACAUCGAAGUAGACUAGCACCAAAAACAGUUGAAGGAUUGAUGUGUAUGCAAGCUUGGUCUCGUGCUAACAUGUUAGGCGAUCAAUCCUGUUUUGUGAAUGCUCUAAUGACAUGUUUGGAGGAUGAAGAAGAAGAAAUGGAUGAAGCAGAUUCUACCAUAGUUGAUUGAAGUUGAAGCUUGACCAAGUGAUUUGUUUGGAGGAUGAAGAAAUGGAUGAAGCAGAUUCUUGUAUUCUACAAUGGUUGAGUGUUGCUGUUGGUGCAAUAUUGAAUUGGUCUCUAUGUGUUAUGUUAUUCCUACCGCUAUUGGCUUGGUGUAUAAUGCAUUAAUGCUGUGGACCUGUGAACUAUUUGUGUUUGACACAUAGGCAUGAACUUAUUCUCAUAUGUAUCAUGUAUUCAUGUUAUUGCUGUUAUUAUUGUGAGACUGAUGUAAUCAUGUAAUGAUGCUGGUACCAUUUCAGUUUGAGACAUGAAUUUAUUGUUGCAAUGUUGCUGUUUUGUCUAAGAUUAUUACCUGUGAACUGUUUUUUGCUGCUGGGCCAGUGGGCCUUCACCUGGCGUCAGCCGGUCUGCUGGUCACAGCACGCACACGCACUAGUGAUUACUGAU